UACGGAGACCGCAAGCGUUACUCGGAUUCACUGGGCGUAAAGGGUGCGUAGGUGGCCCUGUGUGUUAGGUGUGAAUACUCGGAGCUUAACUCCGAAAUAGGCGCCUAAAACUAGCAGGGCUAGAGUCUUGGAGAGGUAAGCGGAAUUCCUGGUGUAGCGGUGAAAUGCGUAGAUAUCAGGAGGAACACCAAAGGCGAAGGCAGCUUACUGGACAAGAACUGACACUGAGGCACGAAAGCGUGGGGAGCGAAAGGGAUUAGAUACCCCCUGUAGU
rnacentral:rRNA from 1 species